UUUUGCUGUUAUGAUUUUUGUGAAAUGCCUAUUUUCUUUAGGUUUUGAAUAUAUUUUUUAUUUUUUACAUUUUAAUCACUUUUGUUUGUUUAUUAUCAUUUUUUUAGUGGUGUUUCUAAGAAAUUCUAAUUGAACUAUUUAUUCCAAUCUAAAAUAUUUGACCCCUCCAAAGUUAUAAUCCUGGUUUCGUUCUUGAUUCUAGCCGUAUUUUUUAACAUUGAGGCCUAGAAAUUCUGGGCACGUCUAGUUGCACUCUGUUUUUACUCUUCUUCUUCUUCUUCUUUUUUUUUUUUUUUUUAAAUUAUUUUAUUUAUUUAUUUGGGAUACAUUUGGGGAGGCUGUUUUCAAACCCAAGACCUCCAUUUUGAAAGCUUGGGGGUUAUGCCCAUCAGGCUACGGGACUUUUGACAGUUGCACUCUGUUUUAAGUGUUCGUUAUGUUGUUAAAUCUAUACCGAUACACAAUAUAGAUAGCAAUUGUCACUUCUCUUAAAACCGGUUCAUAGCAUUUGUCACUUAAUGAAGGCCAUUGUUGUUUCAACAUGUCAGUGUUUGUCACCUGUGUUCGGAAGCUCCAUGAAAUGUACAUCUAGGCAUCUUCAAGUGGAAUUUUCACUUGUGACAUGAUGUCUGAACAGUGCCUGGCCACCAUGCACGUCAAAUACCUUUGUUAACAUCAAAGAGAAAUACUUCAAACAGGACGGGUGUUUGUUUUCCUUUUACACCGGCCAAUAGAACUUUAACAUAUAUAGGACUUAUGUGUGUUACAGUGCGUGCGAGUUCAGUGGAUUUUUUAUUUCUCCCUUUGUACCAUCUCCUCUUCCCUUUGUCUCCUCUCCUUUCCUCUCCACAACCUAGCUUUUUUCUCCUCUUUCUCCUCUUCUCCCUCUCUUCUAUUUCCCAUUCCCUUUUCCCUUUCUCCUUUCGUCCCAUCUCAGAGAUUCUGUGGAGGGUGAUUUAGAAUGAACUGAUUUCCCUCCCUCAACUCGAUCGAUUCCGCUCAAUUUUAACAAAACAACUUUGAAAUAGGACAAUAACUCUGAUGCUUGAAAUGGGAGCGAAUGAAGAGUGAUUUGCAAAUAGGAGUGAAAAAGUAAUUGGUCACCAGCAAGAGAUCUAUAUGAAGAGAUGGGCGCAUAUCCUUUCACUUAAAAAUGAAGAAAUUGGAAACAAGUACAAAGAGUCAUUCAGAUUAACCAAGUUGAAUAUUAUUGGACUGGAAAUUGAAAUGUAUUUGUCUAGAAAAGUUAUGAAAUCUGAGUUCAUUUAAACAUUGUUUUAAUCUCAUAAGGAUGCUGCAGAGGAUGAAUUUUAGAGUUGCAAUAUUGGAUUUUCGGUUGUAAAUUUUCAGUUAUUAAUUUCCGA